CAUUAUGAGAGUUUGAUCCUGGCUCAGGACGAACGCUGGCGGCGUGCCUAAUACAUGCAAGUCGAACGCUUUUUCUUUCACUGGAGCUUGCUCCACCGAAAGAAAAAGAGUGGCGAACGGGUGAGUAACACGUGGGUAACCUGCCCAUCAGAAGGGGAUAACACUUGGAAACA
rnacentral:rRNA from 1 species